AAAAAAAUUAGCAAGUCCUGAAAACAACAAGCCAGCCCACUCCAGAAAACAUUAUUGAAAAUGUCAUUCUAGAAACUCAUGAUACUAGUGAAAUUUCUCUUGAUACAUAUCUUGUGGUGGAUUGUUUAUCAUAUAUUUUACACCGCUGAGGUGAACCUAGAAACUAAUAGAAUACUCACUCAUAAAAAUUUUUUAAAAAAUGACUACUAUGUUCUAUUGUUAAUGGUCUCCUCUUUUCUCCAUAAAUUUCCAAUAUUCUUACCUCUCAUCUUACAAAGUUUCAAAUGCCUGCAUGGGAAUCUUAUGCCAUAAGUGAUGCUUGACAACCCAGGAAACUUAGAAGUUGCAAAAGCUCUAUUGAAAAGUUUGGCUCAAAAUUAAUUUUCAUUAAUAUUUUUUAGUGUUGACUGUUGAGCUUCAAAUAUAUGAGUGACAAAAAGGUUGUUGGCUAGUUUCUUAUCUCCUCAUUCCUCUCCAAUUUAUGAAAAUUGCUGUCCAUCUAUAUUGGCUAAUUUAAACUAUUUGAUUAACAUUUGCAUUACUAAAAGCAAACAAUGUAACAGUUGAAAAAUCUUUUGUAGAAGGAUUGAUUUGGUUUUCAUUUUGCACUUACAUGUUGAAAAGCUUGGACUCCUCCAAUUUCCAUGUUGGGCUGGUAUUUGAUUGCUAGGAACUAACAUUGUUUAUGAUAUCCUAUUACAAGUGUUCCAAAAGACAUUGGUAUGCAACUAUUGCUACUCCCAAAGUUAAGAAGUACUGGUAAGAUGCCAUGCAUUAUUAAACAUUGAUUUUAAUUGGGAUAUGCUAAUAAUUGCUAAUAUAGGAUAUUUCCUUGAGGUCCUACUGUAUUUUCCCAUGCUUAAAAUGAUAUUAUCAUUUGGUUGUUCCUGCUUCUCCAUAGGGUUUCCUUGAUCCUCCACUAAACAUGUCUCAGGUAUACCUACGCAGGAACUGUGAGGGGAUAAUUGAUCCAAAUGGUGAAAUAUGGGCUGCUCCAUAUCGAUGGGGCUGUUUGGUGAUAGCUUACAAGAAAAGUAAAUUUCAGAAGAAUAAAUUGGCUCCGAUUGAGGUAGUUCAUUAAGAAAGUCAUCUGGUGUAAAAAAAAUUUCCAAUUAAGGUAACCAGCAACCACUAUUACAGGAUUGGGCAGAUCUGUGGCAGCCUAAGCUCACAGGGAGGAUUUCUAUGGUUGACUCUCCUAGAGAGGUGGUUGGUACUGUUUUGAAGUAUAUGGGAGCAUCAUACAACACAAAGAACAUUGAAUUGGAAGUUACUGGCGGGAGAAAUGCAGUCCAAAAGAAUCUUGCAUUACUUGGAAAACAGGUCCGAUUAUUUGAUAGCACGCACUACCUGAAAGCAUUUGCAGUGGGAGAUGUAUGGGUUGCCGUUGGUUGGAGUAGUGAUGUUCUUCCUGUUGCCAAGCGCAUGUCUAAUGUUGCAGUUGUAGUCCCCAAGUCCGGAGCUAGCUUAUGGGCUGAUCUCUGGGUAUAUCCUGAUUUAUCUAAAUAUGAAGUUGAUAAUCACUUUUUCUUCACCUUCAUGUUAGCGUUUCUCGGUUGAAUAUCUAAUGCAUCAUCUGCUGACUAUAACCAUGUGCUUACUAGAAUGGGAAAUGGUAGAGCCGUAGCUGCAGUGCAAUCUAUGCCUGUUAUGCCCUCUCAUGCUAUUGACAAUCCAUAUAUGCCUUGGAGUUGAACCUUCACCAAUCCUGAAUUAGAACUACUAGUAAAUUGUAAUUGGUAGUGUAUGCUUAGUUAGAUAAUAAGUUGUAUUCUUGGUGCAGGCAAUCCCCGCCGCCUCAAGACUUGAAACAAACCAAAUUGGAGGGCGAGUCAGAGGACCAUCUCCAUUAAUCCAUCAAUGGAUAGAGUUCUGCUUGCAAGCUGCAAGAGCACUACCUUUCAAGCAGGAGGUAGUCGCUGGAGCAACUCCGUCUGCCCUUGAGAGUACAACAGUUGAAAUCCCUAAAGAGCUCACCAGAGGUAAGCCAAAAUUGGACACAAAUCUUAUAGCUGGAGUGCCACCACCUGAAAUUUUGACUAGGUGUGAAUUCUUGGAGCCAUUGUCUGAUGCUACAUUGUCAGAGUACAAGUGGCUGCUCGCCGGUAUGGAGAAGCCUGGUCCUACUUUUAUCCAUAGAAUACAUCAUUACAUCUCAUCAACAAUUCAAUCUUUUGGGCUAAAACCGCAUUCAAAGGUAACAUAAAUCUGCAUAAAGCUCUUUACGUCGGCCAUUUAAGAUCAUUGAAGCAACUUCCAAAGUGCAAAGAUGAGGUUGUGAAGGUCUGAUUCAUAUUUUCUGGCACAUGGUGUAGAUACUGUAUCAUGCGGUCUUGUAAAAACACAAGUGAUCAAUUAUUUAUUUUUUUUAUAAUGAAAAAUGUUAAUUUGAGAAAAA
rnacentral:misc_RNA from 1 species